rnacentral:rRNA from 1 species
GGAGGAGCUUGCUUCUCUGGAUGAGUUGCGAACGGGUGAGUAACGCGUAGGUAACCUGCCUGGUAGCGGGGGAUAACUAUUGGAAACGAUAGCUAAUACCGCAUAAUAGUAGAUGUUGCAUGACAUUUGCUUAAAAGGUGCAAUUGCAUCACUACCAGAUGGACCUGCGUUGUAUUAGCUAGUUGGUGAGGUAACGGCUCACCAAGGCGACGAUACAUAGCCGACCUGAGAGGGUGAUCGGCCACACUGGGACUGAGACACGGCCCAGACUCCUACGGGAGGCAGCAGUAGGGAAUCUUCGGCAAUGGACGGAAGUCUGACCGAGCAACGCCGCGUGAGUGAAGAAGGUUUUCGGAUCGUAAAGCUCUGUUGUAAGAGAAGAACGAGUGUGAGAGUGGAAAGUUCACACUGUGACUUUAUCUACCAGAAAGGAC